rnacentral:tRNA from 1 species
CCCCUGGUGGUCUGGUAGCUAGGAUUCCUGGUUUUCAUCCAGGAGCCCAAGUUCAAUUCCUGUCAGGGAA